UUACAUGCCUACAACAUAAUGUUAAUGCAUUGAAUUCCAUUAGAACUAUGCAAUUAUGCGUUCGAGCUAGAGUAGUACUAGGAUGGGUGACUGCCUGAGAAGUCCUAGUAUUUUACAUU
rnacentral:rRNA from 1 species